CCUGAACCAAGAAGAGGCAGAAAAGAUGAGCAACACACAUUAACUUUUGAGCCAAAAACCCUCAGAAGAACGUUUACACGGCUUUCUGUUAUAAAUUAACAAACUUACUUUAACUAUCUUAUGUAUAUAUAAUGGUAGAAAAUAGGUACUGAGAUUAGAACCUUAGAGAAAAACUUCUGAGCAUGGCUUCGAAUCUGAACAGCAGUCUUUGUGCCCACAUGUUCUGCAUAAAAACAGAGUACUUUCAAGAUAUUGGCUAUAAAGAAGUUAAGAUGAAAAUUGUUUCAGGAAUCUGUAACUUCACUCAUGCUAACCUUCAAUCCGACGCCAAGCACGACCAUACAACUUUAAGGCUUCCAGGAACUUCUUAUGCUCCUCCUCUGUCCAUCUUUCUCGUUGUUUUGUGAUUGUGUAAGGUUUUCUCACCUAUUAACAGAACAAAGGACAAUAAGCAUCCAAAAAAGAGUAAAGCAAAAGAAGUUUCAGUUGGGUUAUUCUUUCAAUGGAAGCUGGCUUUCAAAUUUACAGAUAGAAUGGAACCUUGGGUGCAUAUUCAUCUCCAGAGGGAUACAUCUCCGUCAGUUGGACUCCAGUUACAGAUCGUGAGCCAACAUCCAAACAAACAGGAUUGCCAUGGAUGUUACCAGCAUGGGUACAUGUGCCUCCGCUACUAUCCUAAAUCCAAAGCAAGAACAACAAUGAAAUUAGAAAUGCCUGAUCACCAUUAGUCACAAAGUACUCUACUUAGCGCAGAGAGCCAAAAACAAC